rnacentral:rRNA from 1 species
CCGGAGCUUGCUCCACCGGGAAAAGAGGAGUGGCGAACGGGUGAGUAACACGUGGGUAACCUGCCCAUCAGAAGGGGAUAACACUUGGAAACAGGUGCUAAUACCGUAUAACAAUCGAAACCGCAUGGUUUCGUUUUGAAAGGCGCUUUACGGUGCCGCUGAUGGAUGGACCCGCGGUGCAUUAGCUAGUUGGUGAGGUAACGGCUCACCAAGGCCACGAUGCAUAGCCGACCUGAGAGGGUGAUCGGCCACAUUGGGACUGAGACACGGCCCAAACUCCUACGGGAGGCAGCAGUAGGGAAUCUUCGGCAAUGGACGAAAGUCUGACCGAGCAACGCCGCGUGAGUGAAGAAGGUUUUCGGAUCGUAAAACUCUGUUGUUAGAGAAGAACAAGGGUGAGAGUAACUGUUCACCCCUUGACGGUAUCUAACCAGAAAGCCACGGCUAACUACGUGCCAGCAGCCGCGGUAAUACGUAGGUGGCAAGCGUUGUCCGGAUUUAUUGGGCGUAAAGCGAGCGCAGGCGGUUUCUUAAGUCUGAUGUGAAAGCCCCCGGCUCAACCGGGGAGGGUCAUUGGAAACUGGGAGACUUGAGUGCAGAAGAGGAGAGUGGAAUUCCAUGUGUAGCGGUGAAAUGCGUAGAUAUAUGGAGGAACACCAGUGGCGAAGGCGGCUCUCUGGUCUGUAACUGACGCUGAGGCUCGAAAGCGUGGGGAGCAAACAGGAUUAGAUACCCUGGUAGUCCACGCCGU